GUCACUUAGAGGCAGAGCUGUGGGGACCAGGUACUGCUGAAAGCCAGGAAUGAGGGGCUUGCCCGGUUCUGUUUCAGACACACUUGUGGACCAAAGGGAUGGCUUUACUCUGGUGUGGGAAGGCCCCGGGGCUGUGCAAAGAGUGGAAUUUAUCUACUGCCCCUGUGAUUUCCUGAACACCCUAAGCUCUCCUAAUGUGUUUGUGGCUGAGCCAUGCCAACAUGCCCACGAACUGCUCCUGGAGAUAGUCAUCGGAUACCAGGGUCCUGGAAGAUGAGGCCACAGCACAUCAUCUGAAUUCUUUUCAUGGAGAUCAAAUGGAUCAUGGAUCGAGGAGGGGGCCCCAGGAAAAUCCGUGUUUGAUUUAAAUUUGACACAUGGCGGAGCUUGAAUUUGGUGCCCAUCAUACUAUCUGACAAAGUACAGACCGUCAGGAUGGUGAGAGUGAGCAUCUCGCACUGAAAGGUACCAGGAGAUCAGCCUGCUCGCCGGAAGCUCAUAAGCCAGCAUAACCUGGACUACACAGACAGUGGCGUCCGAGUUCAAUUCCCGGCAACCACGUGGUGGCUCACAACCAUCUAUAAUGUGAUCUGGUGGCCUCUUCUGGCAUGCAGGUGUACAUGCAGAUAGAGAACUUACAUACGGUAAAUAAGUCUUUUAAAAACAAUAUGCACUAAAAAAAAAAAAAGGAGAUUUCUGGUAUUAUGAUAAAUUGAUUCUCCCUUAAGGAGAACCUGGCUUGUACUGUGCUUUUUCCAGAUUUAAUACUUUUCAGCAGUGGCCUGUGGAAAGCAGGUGGUAGGAGCUGUGCUGGCUUAUUGAAACAAACAAAAGAAACCCAGACAAACCCAAUUUAAAUUACACCUUAAGAAUCCAAAUAUUAGCUGGGCUGUGGUGGAACACUCCUUUCAUCUCAGUAGAGGCAGGCAUAUCUCUGAGUUCAAGGCCAGCUUGGUCUACAGGGUGAGUUCCGGGACAGCCAAGGCUACACAGAGAAACCCUGUCUCAAAAAAAAAACCAAAACAAAAAAAACCAAAUCUAAAUGUCGGGUAGAGGGUAAGGUGGGGAUGGGCAGAGCAGAGAUGUUGAGGUUUAUUUGUGGGUCAGUUUUUCUAGAUUUUUCUUUCAGAGUCAAGGUUCCUGGGUGUCUGUUUUAUAGGCUGUCGGGUCCACACCCCUACCCCUACCCCGCCCCAAGUCACUGCUGAUGAUACCGACUUAAACAAAAGGAUCCUAGUUGGAUCCUUAGGACAGUCAUUGGGUAAACAAGCUUAAAGGAAGGGCUCUGUUUACUAGAAAGGGUCCCUGUUUGCUAGGACCGACCCUUAAUCAUCCAAAGGGAGAUCUGGGCAGCCUGUAUCAGCUCAGAUCCCCAAACUUCCAACAUAAAAUCUGCUUGCCUUAUGACCACUUUGCUCUUCUCUGUGACCCCCCCCAGCUUGAGCCCCCCAAAACCUUUGUUUCUGCCCACGGAGUGGUUGAGUUUGGCAGUUUCUCUGUGGUAUCACUUUUGCAUGUGUACCCCCCUUAUGUGAAUGGGUGGGGUAUCAUUUCUAUCACCUUGAACUCACAGAGAUCCAUCUGCCUCCCUGAGUGCUGGGAUUGCAGGCCAGCCACCACACCUGGCUUGUUUGAUUACAGUUUAAUUAGUGCAUUUGUGUGUUUGUGUGUGCACAUGCAGGCCGUAGCACACAGGUGGAGAUCAGAAAGCAACCUCUCAGGGUCAGUUUUUUCCUUCUAAUGUGGAUUCUGGGGAUGAAACUCAGGCUUUCAGGCUUGGCUACAAGUGCCUUUACUACCUAGCCAGUUUGAAGUUUAACUUCAUUGUAAAUAUCUUGUAAAAUUAUCUUAAUGAUUUUUAAAAAGUUUUUGUUUUUUUCAACCCUUUAUUCAAGAACCUCCAUUCAGGUGUACAUGUUACUUCUAUCAUGUAUGAGACCAAGCGUCUCUGAUUGCUACAUGUAUAGCAGACUAGUUAAGAAACAAUUGCUUUGAGCAGGGGGAAUGACAACACAGCACUGGUUGGUUUUAAGACCAGGUUUCUCUGUGUAGCUUUGGCUGUCCUGAAACUUGCUCUGUAGACCAGGCUGGGUCUCUAACUCAGAGAUCUGCCUGCCCCUGCCUCUCAAGUACUGGGAUUAAAAGCAUACCCCACCAUGCCUGACUUUAUUUUUAUUAUGAUUUAUGCGUGUGUGUGUGUACAUGUGGUUUUCAUAUGUGAAUACAAUGCCUGUGGAGGCCUUAAAGUGAAAAGCAGUUGUGAGCUGCCCAAUAUGGGUGCUAUAAAGCUCAGAUCCUCUCCAAGAGCAGCAAGUACUCUUAGCCACUGAGCUCUCCAGCCCCUGACUUGCUUAUGUGGACAGUCCAGGCCUUGAACCGACUCCUCUGCCUCCAUGUAUGAGUGCUGGGGCCACAGGCGAGCACCAUCUCCAGCUUGCUUCAUCUUUGCAUCGGAGUCUUUCUGUGCAGCCCAAGCUGAUCUCAUACCUGCAUCCUGAGCCAGGAUCACAGGUGUGUCCCAGGACACCUGGCCUGAUAACUUACAGGCCAAAAAAAACAAAAACAGUCUCUACAAAAUUGCUGCCAGCCCAAGCAUGGAGGAGGCUGACGCAGAAGAACCGGAAGAGUCUAUUCAGUAAGUACCAGGUCAGUAGGAUUGCCAUCUUGUCUUACAAAACAAAAACAAGCCGGGUGUGGUAGGUUAGGGCUAACAUCCCAACCCGUGACUGGUGGAGGUGGCAAGAGUCGGGAACUCAAAGCUAGACUUACCUAAUGAGUCUGAGGCUAGCAUGGGCUACACAGAACCCUGUCUCAGAAAACAAAACAAACAAAACAAAACCAAACCUUCAAAUCCCAAACCAGACCUAGACCUCAUGGACAUCUGGUCCUGCCUCUGUUUUUUAGCUCCAGAGACAGCUCCAGGUAGCAGAGGUGACGUGCUUCAGGGCUGGGAAGAUGGCGCAGCACCUAAGAGUACUUGUUGCUUAAGCAGGAGGAUGUGAGUUCAAAUCCCUAGAAGUCACAUGAAAACCCAGGCACGGCCAAUAACCCCUUUCCUGUGCCAGGCAGAAACACGGAUAUUUAUGUGCCUGACUUCCCAUCUUAAUAAAAUAAUAAGGCUGAGGGCAGGGUCCCAGCAUCAGCCCAGAAGGUUGCACACACACGGGCAGGCAUAUCCACACCCUUACAAACACACACUAAUUAUGGAAAUAGUUUUUUUUUUAAGUGACUCACUCCAAAUCCUACAAAGGCCUCCAGCAGAAGCCGAGCCUUUUAACAUUUGUGUUUUAAGCUCCGUGCUCUUUAGGAGUUCUGUUUCACAAGUGAGGGCCUCACCCCUGGCCUCCACACAGGCUGUUUGCAUCCUAGGGAAGAGCCAGCCAAUCAAGACAGCCUCCUGGCCCGUCACCAGCCUCAGGGGCGGCAGCCCAGAUGAGCACUUCUGCAGGAGAAGGCUCACGAGGGAAAGGUGCCUGAGACUGAACGGAGGAGAUGAAGAGCCCCCCAGAAGGUGAGACUCCCCCUUAGGCAGUGUCCCUCUCCCGUGGUGCUGCUGUCCUUUAAGGGUUUCUGGCAGCUGGGUGUGGUUGUGCACAUUUGCAAUCCCUGCUACUCUGGAUGCUGAAGCGGGAAGAUCACAAGUUCACAGUCAUCCUGGACAACUUGGCCAAACCUUGUUCCAGAAUCAAAUUAAAACGGAGGGGGUCAUUUAGGGAGGGGAGGAAAACGGGUGCAGCUUGAUGGCAGAGCACAGGUCUAGCACCUGUAAGGCCCUGGGUUCCGGUCCUUGUACAAUUUAAAAAAAAAAAAAAAAAGUCGGUGCACACCUGUUGUGUUUACAGUGGUAUCAAAGCACCAAACACAGACUUGGCCUGCGGCCCACACUCAGGAAGCACUUGCUGAAUAAAUAAACUCAGGGCCCAAACUCAGGAAAGGUGUUUUUUUUUUUUUCUCUUCCUUCCUAGAACGUGCCCAGAGCUUGUGGCUGAGCACUUCCCUGCCUUUCCUUCCUGCUAAUGACUUGCUUCGUAAAGACAGAAGCAGACCCUCCUUGCAUUUAUCUUUAUCAAGUUGACUUGCUCUCUCUGCCUCAGCCAGAAACAUCUGUUUGGAAUUACCAGCAAAACUGACAGCAGUAUCCUGUGUUGCUCGGCUUAGGCGCCACAGGGCUCCAGGGCCCUCCUGCAAACCACAUCGCCACUGCUCCUUUCUACGCAGUUAGCUUUGGUGGAGUUCUUCUAGGACAUACUGGCUGUCCAACCUGAAGUCGCUGUACUGAAGGCGCUUUGACCCGGCUGCCCAGCUCACAGCCCACACAUCCUUCCAGAGACUUCGGAGUGUGGCAGCUUGUCCAGUCCUUCUGGGAGGAGGGUCGCCCUCCCAGGAGUCUCUUCCAGUUUCACUUCCCUUUUGGGAGCUGUUCCCCCACCGGCUUUAGAAGUACACCCAGUACGUUAGAACUAUGUCCGUUUUGAGAAAAGCAACGUUAUGGAGGAGACAGAAGGUGCAGAGGCCGGCAGGUGGUGCUGACUCCUUGAGGUACCGGUAGGAGGGACUGGCACACCCACCCUUCUACCUGGGGAUGAGGGGAGAGGACAGACUGAUGGCAGGGGUCCACUUGGAUGUAUCCUAGCCCCUCCCUACAGUUCCCUGCUCACCUCCGCAGAGGGCUGUUCCCAAACGUCCCGGUCUCCGAGCGACAGGUCCGCUGCUUCAGGUUUUUGUGGCUGCUGCGUAGCUGUCGCUCUGCAGGCUAACCUUGUAGUCACCCGGCUUGGCUUGGGUGGGUCAGGAGGCUGGCCCCGGUGAUCGCAUUACAUGGCUGCCGACUGGCUCUGGCCAGGCACGUGAUGAGAAAAAGUUUAGGUCUGCGUGGGCUGGAAACAGUAUGCCUUUCUUUUGGAAGGACAUGUCCUUAAUGAGAGAGCACAGCUCGAGAGCGUGGAAACAGGCCACGGGCCCAAAUUCUGAUCCUCUCGAACUUGCUUUUUCCCUUCGUUUUCUCCAAAUUUAGGAAAUGUUAACACACAGAAGACAGGCUGAAGAAAAGCUGUGGGGAGUAGGCUAUGGCACACAGUCCAAGCUGAUAAAGUGUCUGGAGAAUUGACUGAUUCAUGUGACCUUCGCUCCUUUCCCUCCCUGCUCCCUCCCUCUUUUAAAAAUAUACAGUGUAUGCAUUUACAUUUUUUAAAUUUCUUAUUUAAGGUUAUCUGAGGCAAGGUCUCUCUGUGCAGCCCUGGCUGUCCUGGAACUCAGAGAUCCCCCAGCCUUUGCCUCCUGAGUGCUGGGGUUAAAGGUGUGUGCUGCCACGCCCACCUCUGAUUUCUUCUUUAAAUUUGGCUGUGUAUGUGGGUAUCUGCUGGUCUGUAUGUGCACCCCUUGACUGCAGGUAACCCAGGAGGCCAGAUUCUGGCUGUCCGACUCCCAGAAAUGGAUUUACAGGCUCUUGUGAGCUGCCCCAUGUGGAUGCUGGGACCUGAACUCUACAAGAGCAGCAAAUGCUUGGGACCCCUGAGCAGCAAUAAGGCUGCUUCUCCAGCCCUAUUGCUCUGUCUUUUGAAGACAUAGCCUUAUGUAGCCCAGACUGGCUUCAAACUUACAAAGGAGUCAGAACUGGCCUUGAACUCCUGACCCUCCUACCUCAGCUGGCUAAGAACUUCGGAAUCACAGGCAUACACUAUAACGCCAGGCUACAGAUUACUUAAGAACAGACAACUGUUAGGUGACAGGCCUGUUGCUUUAUGACUGGGGUCACUCUUUAAAGGGCCAGAUACCAACGCCUGAAGGGAUCAAGCCUCCCUUCAGCUCUCUCCCUCUGGGAGAGGUGUCUGUGCUGUGGGACUUUGCAGCUCUCAACUUACGAUACCUGGCUUCUUUUACGCUCUUGGUCACAUACUCCAUGUUGAAGCAAAUUCUUUGCUGUGGGACUUUCCAUCAGUCCCCACAAACUUGAGGAAGUGCUUUGAAGGCUACUUUCUGAAGAGGCUUCUCUGGUCUCCCAUUCAUUUCACGUAGCCUUAGCUGGUCUGGAACUUGCUAGGUAGAUGAGGCUGCCUCUGCUUCUUAAAGGCUGGGAUUUAGGGUUUGUGCUAUAAUACCAGGAUAUUUUAUCUUUAGAACUCUGUGUCUCUGUCCCUUUUUCUCUCUCUGUGUGUGUAUGUAUGUAUGCCGCAUGACUGGAGUGCCCUGGAGCCCAGAAGAGGCAGUUGGAUUCCCUGGAGCUAAGGACCGCUGUGAGCCACUCCAUGUGGGGCUAGGAACCAAAGUCUGGCCCUCUGGAAGGGCGGCAAGCAUUCUUAAUCACUGAGCCAUCUCUCCGGCCCCAUUCCUCAGUUUUCUGAGCUAGGUCCUCAUGUAGCCCAGGCUGGGCUCUGACUCACUGUGUAUCAGUGAUGACAACGUUGAGUCCCUGAGUUCUCCCCGACCUCUACCAACAGUGGUGAGACUACAGGCAAGCGGCUACAGCUGUUUCUUUGGAGUUGGGUGGAACAUGGCCUCAUGUGUGCUGGAGUCUACAAACUCAGGAGCAGAGCACAUUUCCCCGCUCUUUGUUAUUUUUUAAUGCUGUUUUAAAAAUAUUUUUACUAUGUGUGUAUGUGUGUGUAUGUUUGUGGGAAUGUACAUGUGUGGGUCCAGGGGCAUGUGGAGAUUUGGAGUUACAGGAGAUUAUGAGCUGCUGAUUAGGGGUGUUGGGAAUGGAACUUGGCAAAACCAGAAAAAGCUGGUUUUUCUUCAGCCUCUACUUACUUAUUGAGACAGGUUCUCAGUUAACCUGACAGGCCUGGAACUCCAUCUGUGGAGGCUGACCUUGACCCUGGUCUUCUGGCUUCUUCCUUCCCUAGUGCUGGGAUUACACUUUGAGAUGCUGUGCUUGCUGGGUGCUUGUUUGUGGGCCCAGCAUUCAGGAGCGGGAGGAAGACAGCAUGGAGGGCAGUCAGGGUCACCCAAUGAGACUGUCUCAAAGAGUUACUGUACAGAUGUGUCACACUCUAUUUGGCUAAUAAAAGACGGUGUCUUGGUCACAUUCUUCUUGGACCAAUUUGUUGCAUUAAGUCAAGGCUCAGUAAAACAUUCAACACUGGCUUAAAAAUUAACUUUCAGGUUGGGUACAGCUUGUUCAGGAUUUUUCUCAUUUUUGAGAGACGCCAGUGUACUUCCCUACAUUUUUUUUAGAUGUCUCCAUAAUGACCCUAUUUUGUGCACUGAUCAGGUGGUGUCCAGGGUCCUGGUGCUGACAGUGUAUGUAGUUCAGUCUACCCCCCCAUGCCAGAGGCCCUGAGUUCCAGCAUCACCUAAACUUACUCUGCAUCCUCUCCUGAUUCACUACCCACUUCCCCACAUGCCAAGUGUCACUGCUCUGGGCAGAUUUCCACUGUUCACUUACAGAGAUGUACAGGGACUUUCCGUUUUUCUCUCACCUCUGCUUGUACAGCCCCUCCCACUCAGGGCGCUUCUUCUGUUCUAACUUCUAUGCCUCUAGCUCUUUCCGUGGUUGGAAACUUCUGCAGAAUUCUGAAGCCUUUGGAGUCCACUGCUACUAGAACAUUAUAGACUAUCACAGUUCAAAGGAGGGAUUUUUUUUUUUAAUUUGACACAAUUUUAUUAAGCCUGGCAUUUCAAACAUACAAUAUUUGCCAUGACUGUUCUAAGUUGUUAGUGCCCUUAUUACUACAGUAAACGCCCUUUAAAAGCAACAUCAGGACACAGGCUGUACUUACACUAUGUCUAUUUUACAACCCGAAACAGCGCAUUAUGAGGGUCAUGGCUAAGGGAGAGUGUGGAAAUCAUCUUGGGGGUGGGGCAGAAUCCAUUAUCAGUUGCUGAGCUCCUUACACACACACAGAUAGGGCAGCCAUGGACCUCUCAUCCAGGAAACAAAUGUGUUAGUGAGCAUCCAUCCAGGGAGUACAAAGCAGCAAAGAUAAAUAAAGAGAUUGGUAUUUUGUCCAAUUAUUUUGACAUUUCUCUUUUCAUUGUUUAAGAGUCAAAUUGUUGUGAUUGUUUUCUUAAAAAAAUCAAGUAAUGUUUAAAAUUAAGGCUUUGACCAUCACAAAGAUUUAAGCCAUUAAUGUUAAUGUUACUGUAUAGAUUACCUUGGAUAAAGUUAUAUAAACCUUUAUGGUAAGUCAUUCUAAAUAGAUUUUCAGUGUGUAUUAAUAUCAUUAAUGGUCAAAUAUUUUUGUAAUUGGUCAAUGCCUUAAAUACCUUAUCUGCAUUUGGGCAAAGGAAGGUUCUUUUUUUGUUGUUUUUGUUUGUUGUUGUUUUGCUUUGUUUUUCGAGACAGGGUUUCUCUGUGUAGCCUUGGCUGUCCUGGACUCACUUUGUAGAUCAGACUGGCCUCGAACUCACAGAGAUCUGCCUGCUUCUGCCUCCCAGAGUGCUGGGAUUAUAGGCGUACACCACUAUACUCUGCCAAAGCUUUUAAGAUUUAUUUAUUUUAUGUAUAUGAGUGUCUCUAUCUUCACAUACACCUGCCCACCAGAAGAGGGCGCCAGAUCUCAUUAUAGAUGGUGGUGAGCCACCAUGUGGGUGCUGGAAAUUGAACUCAGGACCUCUGAAAGAGCAGCCAGUGUUCUUAACCACUGAGCCAUCUCUCCAGCCCCCAAAGAAAGGUUCUCAAUGCUGCUCAUUUACAAGUAAGUCAGGAGCUGGGUUCUUAACCCUGAGCGGUGAAGAACCCAUGCUGUUCUUCCACAGGCCCCAGCGCCCCUGUCUAGCAGCUCACAACCCUCUGGAACUCUAGCUACAGGAGAUGCAAUACCCCUGGCCUCUAUAGGUCCCUGCAUCCACAGAAACACACACACAAAUACACAUAACUAAAAAAAAAAAAAAAAAAAAAAAAAAUUCUUUUAAUGGGGCUGGAGAGGUGGCUCAGUGGUUAAGAGCACUGUCUGCUCUUCUAAAGGUCAUGAGUUCAAUUCCCAGCAACCACAUGGUGGCUCACAACCAUCUAUAAUGUGAACUGAUUCCCUCUUCUGGCAGGUGUAAAUGCAGAUAGAGCACUCCUAUAAUAAAUCUUAAAUAAAUAAAUAAAUCUUAAAAAAAAUAAAAAGUUACUUCAUGGGGCUGGUGGCUCAGCCUUUAAAAAAAAAUCUUUUAAAAAUAGAAGUGGGGGGGGGGGGUUGGAGGCAUGGCCCAGUGGUUAGGAGCACUGUCUGCUUUUUCAGAGGACCGAGGUUCAAAUCCCAGCUCAAAUGGCAGCUCACAACUGUCUGUAACUCCGGUUCCAAGGGUUCUGACACCUUCACACUAAUGCACAUAAAAUAACAUUAAAUAAAUUAAAAAAAUACGAGGCUGUUUUUUUUUUUUUUUGUUUUUAGAUUUGGUUACAGUAUUGGAGCCUGUGUGCACAGAGGGCAAGGACAGUUUCGGAGGUGACAGGAGGUCGGUGGGUUUCCCUCUUAGCCCUUCUUUCCAUUGGCCUGCAUUUCCGUCUGUGUAGGCCGAGACCAACUUUCCUCUCUAUGCUGUGUUCUCUUAGCAGUGUGAACAUUUCCACAUUGGCAUUAACUCUCAGUCAGUCACCUGCAAGGCACAGCUCAGCUAUCACCUUCUGGGAGAAACCAGCUACCUUUUUACAUCAAAUUUAGUAGAAUUCAAAUUGUUUCUGUCUUUUCAUUUGUAGAAAUCAAUGUCUUAAAAAAAAAAAAAAAAAGCUGGCUGUGGUGGUGCACACCUGUAAUUCCAGCACGGAGGCAGGAGGAUCGGGAGUGAGAGACCAGGGUUUCCCGGUACACUGGAACAGUCUCUCAGGCCUCCUUUCCUUGCCGGGCACCGCUACAGCCUGCUGGUUCACCGCUUUGCAGCUAUCCGGCCACUCAUUGCCUCCUUAGCCUCUGCUUGUCCUUGCCCAACUUCUCAUUUCUCUCCUGUUUAAAUUUCACCUCCUCAGGGAGACGUUCUGACCUGCCUGUGAGACUCGCCACUCUCACCCCAGGAUAUUCUUUCAUGAUAGCUAUUAAAAUUAAUCAUGUUGACAUUAAAGUGUAUGCCACACCGCCAAUUUCAUACUUGAAUGCUUGUUCCUUGUUCU